rnacentral:rRNA from 1 species
AUGGUUAAGCUAAUAAGGGCGCACGGAGGAUGCCUAGGCGCCAGGAGCUGAAGAAGGACGCGGCGAACAGCGAA